rnacentral:rRNA from 1 species
UCCAGACUCCUACGGGAGGCAGCAGUGGGGGAUAUUGCACAAUGGGGGGAACCCUGAUGCAGCGACGCCGCGUGGGUGAAGGAGCGUUUCGGCGCGUAAAGCCCUCUCGGCAGGGAAGAAGGAGGACGGUACCUGACUAAGAAGCCCCGGCUAACUACGUGCCAGCAGCCGCGGUAAUACGUAGGGGGCAAGCGUUAUCCGGAUUUACUGGGUGUAAAGGGGGCGCAGACGGCAGCGCAAGCCAGGAGUGAAAGCCCGGGGCCCAACCCCGGGACUGCUCUUGGAACUGCGCGGCUGGAGUGCAGGAGGGGCAGGCGGAAUUCCUGGUGUAGCGGUGAAAUGCGUAGAUAUCAGGAGGAACACCGGUGGCGAAGGCGGCCUGCUGGACUGCGACUGACGUUGAGGCCCGAAAGCGUGGGGAGCAAACAGGAUUAGAUACCCUGGUACAA